rnacentral:tRNA from 2 species
GGUUGAUGAGCUUGUUAUAAGCGUAUACUUUGAAAGUAUAAUAAAGAAAUAAAAUUUUCUAUUAACUU